CAAAAUAUACUUUGAAAAAAAAAUGUUGAAGCAAGUCAUUAAUUUUGGAAGACGAAGGCUAGCUUACUAUUGAUUCUAAAUAUCUGGGAUACAUCAGAGAGCUUGCCAGUGGCGGGGAACUUAGCCUAAUCACCGCCUUCCCAGGCUCAGCUGUCCUUUGAAAAUGGCCAAAAAAUCCACACUUGUCAAAUUAAUCAGUAUGGCUGGGACGGGAGUGCUCAGACCUUUCCGAAAACCUGCCACGGUAGAUCACAGAAUAAAAAUGUUACGAUAUGAUCCUGUUGUGAAUAAACGAGUCCUGUUUGUUGAAGAGAAAGGCAAAGUCAAGUGAACGACAUUUGUGAAUCUACUUUGUACACAAUCAUGUAACAAAGGAACUACUGUAAAUAUACAAAUUUUCGGCAGCUAUUUAAUUUCGGCUAUAUUCGGCACCGACCCAAAACGCCGAUGAAAUUUUUCACCGCAUCUGUCGCACUAUACCAUGCCCUCUACCCCACGCCGAAAAUAAAUCACCGCCGAAAUGUCAAAAAUCGUGAAGUGCCGAAAUUUUGCAGCGCCGAAAUUUUGUAUAUUUACAGUAGUUGGGCAAAGUGGACUUCUAGGUGUGAAGCCGUGCCUACACGUACAAGACUAGUGUAGGUGAUAUCUACUGUGGAGCUGCUUGCUGCAAUACCUGCGUGCACUACUGCCUUACAUCAUUCAACCGAAUGCUCACUUCAAGGAGGCCUGUACUUAUUUCUGCUUCUAGAAUUGACACCGACUUCAGAGAACCUCCUGCUGGCUUUUACGCAUCCCCUCAUAUGGGAUCAUUGCCCCCUUGAGAUUGCAGUGUUUUUUUCCGCUUUCCUUUCCUGCCCGCUCCCGGCUAGCAUGCCGGAUGCUUGCACAGUUCUUCUGUAUGGCUUCAAGGAUUUCUUCAGAACUA